rnacentral:misc_RNA from 1 species
GUGGCAUCAUAUAUAUGUAAAAUAUAUUAUUCACAGAAGGCAAAAAAUGAAAAGAAAAAGCUGUGCCAUGGCUCAACAUCAAGCAUGACUCUUCAUAAGUCGAAUGACAUGGAAAGAAGUCAAAACAAAAAAUACCAACUUACAAAGCAUGUCAAAAGACUCAUCCUGUAUUCCUACCACAGAUUUUCAGCAUAUUCUCCAGGAUUUAAGAAGAGAUCCAGUUACUUUAAGCUGCUGAUUAGCAUGCUUGCAAGGUAGAUGACCCUGGAUAAAUCAUAAGGUGACUAUCGGAUAGCAUUGCAGCAUAUGUUAAAAGAUUUUCAAGUCCCUUCAUUAGCAAGGCCAGCAUGACUGGACGGGUUAAUACUCUGCUAGAGCCUUACAGACAAUCCAUAGUUGUGGAAAGUCUUGAUUGUUCCAUCACACCCUGCUGUCACUAUAACAAGUCCCCAUGCAUCGGAUAAAGCAGCGUGGCCAUUAGUGUUAAUCAGCUGCUGCUGCUGCUGAAAAUCUUCGUAAUGCUGAUGUUGACAUUCCUCUUCUGCAAUUGCUACGUCCCAACAAGGAAGUCUCUCCUCAGGCCAUGUUGCGGAGCCCCCUCUGCAUGGACCAUCCACGAAGAACCAAUUGCCAAGAGAAAAACGUUCUGAAUCUCUCCUCCGGGAAGCAUCUUCCGUUUGCAUCCUAUUCUGAAUGUUACCACCAUUUACGCUUUUCGGUUCUGCUCUCAUGCCUGACCAAGGUACUGCAACAGAGACACCUUCAGAGAAGAAAUGCUCACAAGAUCUCACAGAUUUUAUGUGUUUAGAUGAUGGGGUGCACAAUCCAUCAUAAUUCCAGACAUAAACUCGACAGUCCUCUCCAACUGAGAUAAUAUGUCUCCCACUUGAAGUAAACGAAGCCGACAUCUGACUUCCUGACCUUGAUAGACCUUUAAAUUUGUGAACAAUAUCAACCCCAUCAAAUAUGCGAAGCUUUGAAUCUUCAGAAGAGAUCAUAACUCUUUGAGAUCCUUCCUGGGAAUACUGAAUGCCAGUAAUUCUGUUGCCUAAGGUUUUCUUUCUGCCUUGAACAUGUAUCUCUGAUUUAAGCUGGAGAUCAUUGCCUGAUGCUUCAUAGAAACGGCAAGUGCCUGAAAUGGAGCCAACUACGAAGCCUUUUCCAUCUGGCCGGUAACAUAUAGCAGAUGUUACAUCACGAGCGUCAACCCAAUCAACUACUCGCUUCUCUAACACUCCCCAAAUUCGAACUUUUCCAUCGAUUGAGCCACUGAUGAAAUAGUUUUCAUCAACUGGAUUGAACUGAAUACAUGUCACAUAAUUAGUAUGGUGAAAAACAUUCAGACAAUGAUCACAACCCACUUGCCACAGGCGAACAGUUUUAUCCUCUGAAGAAGAAAGAAGAAAAUUGGAAUUGGACCAUGCCAAGUCUAAAACAUCACUGGUGUGGCCAUGAUAUUCAUGCACCGGUGAAUCUUCAAUCUGAAAAAUCUUCUUAGGAAUGAUGACUGAUGCAUGGCUCAUCUUUUUCCUAUUCAAACCGAGUUUGCUUUCUUUCAAAUUGCUUUCAGAUGCAAACGACUUGUAAGAAGCAUCCACAGAUGUAACCCGCCAAAUGCGCAAGAUCUGAUCUUCUCCACCGGUUGCCAAAUACUGGCCAUCUGGACUAAACUUCAUAGUCCAAAUAAUGCCUUUGUGAGCUUGAAGCUCUUGUCCCUUAUAAACACCUGUAAAUUCCAUGCAACUCUUCUUGUUCUGCUUCACCUUCAUUUUGUUUGUUUUGGUUGCCUCAGGAUUCAGCUUUGAUACCUUAGAUACGCAUUUACCUUCUAUUAGCUUCCUCUUAUGUACAAAAAAUUUCCACCAGCUCUUCAUUUUCUGCUUUCCCUCGUCAAAAUUUUUACAUUCUUCUUCAUCACCAUGCUCACAUUCUAACAUGGAAGAUGGAGAUCCAGAAUUCUCAUUUUCACAAGCUACAGUUGUUUUAUCAAACUGUUCUUGCUCCAUUUCAUCAAUCAUAGAAUUGGCUUCAGAAUUUCUUUCCCUACCACAACAAAUCAAAUUUGUCUCUUCUCCAUAUGUACACAAAGCUGAAGAACUUGAUACAGCCCCACUGCAAUUGGCAACCCUAUCGAAGCCAACAAUUUCAUUACUGUUAGAGGCCAACUGAGCCAGACCCAUUCCACGCAGAAAACUUUGGCGUCUCUCCUCAACACUUUUUGGCUCAUUCAACCAGAUUUCAUACUCUGAAUUAUCACGCCCCAAGCCCCCUUUUGCUACAAUGGACUCUUCAAGUGACAAACAAUCCGUAGAAUCAAAGAACAAAUCAUCCUCUCCCUCAUCAGAAUUCAGCAUGUCUUGAGCAACUUAACACCAAUAUUCCACAGAAAAAACCAUUGUCCUAAACACUCCCUCUAGUUGGCCAAACCAAAUGCUAAUAACCUCCCUAUAUAAACCCACCAAGGCCACAGAUCACGGACCGAGUUUUGCUCUUUAUGAUGUAUAAAAUAAUAUUAUUAGCAACUACAGGGUCAACUGAAUAUACAAUUCAAAAGCAAGGGCAAGUACUAGGAACCAACUCUAAACUCCACCACAGCCAAUGACGAAUUGACAAGUAUGUUCUUAACCACCAAAAUAAUAGAGAUCCCAACUCAAAAUAUAUCAAGAAAACACUCCUAAAAUCCGGAAUUGACAACAAUAAUCAAAUGAAGGAAACAGAGACCAAAGCUUCUACUAACCUUGGUUUCCAUGCAAAGCAAAGACAAUCCAAGACUAUGUGUCACCGACUCUCCCUUGAAUGUGGGUUGUGUAACAACUCAAGACUAAGCUUUUACACAACUUUAAGCACAUAUAAAACAAAGCCCAUCUAUCAAACCCAAAAUUUCCUCAAGUGCUAUGCAUCGAACCCAAUUUGCUAACUUACAAGAGAAAAUGGCGGAGAAAGGAAAGUUGCAUACAUAAAUUUAACCAAUAAAUGAAAAUAACAAAUGUCAAAUCACCAAUCGUGAAAAGAGUCCUCGAGAUCUGGACUUUGGAGGAGGGUGAGUAGAGGGUGGAGAAUUUUUAUCUUGCAAGCGCACGAGCGACAAACCCGAGCGGCUAAAUAGGCCCAGGAUUCAAGAAGAAGAUAGUGUUGGGGUUCAGCCAGCCAACUGUUACUGCAUGUAUUGCUUUCUUUUGUGUGCCACGAUGAUUCUGCAGCAGCCAGCCACCAGUGUCUGUGAAAAGAAAAAGCCAAAAUUUAUUAAUAUUGGUAACUAAAUUAAGCAAGUUUGAUAAGGAUUAGAGGAAGGCCUGAAACUGAUUGAUUAGUAAUCCAGUGAAAAUUAUAUAAUAUUGCCAACCCAAAAUUCACACACCCACAAGAAGAAUCUACAGCCACCCAAUUCAAGAAACUUUUAGCAGACAAUAAAGCAGAAGGUUGUAAUAAAUCGCAAAAAAUUCAAAACCCAAUUGAACUAUUUGAAAACGAAUUAAAAUCUUGGUAACCCACUUGAGGAAAUUCAAAUACAAAGCUGAAAGUCAAUCUCAAACCGGAAAAAAAGUUAGUAAAUAAGACAUUAACAUAGCCGUUUAAUUAAGGCUAUGCAGUGGGUUGUGUGGCUUUCGGUUGAGAGUUUCUAAAAAGGCAUUAAUGGUGAAGUUUACAACAGCAUAACAAA